CAACCUCAACUCAUAUGGGACUACCCCUGAAUUUAAGCAUAUUAAUUAGGGGAGGAAAAGAAACUAACAAGGAUUUUCUUAGUAGCGGCGAGCGAAAAGAAAACAGUUCAGCACUAAGUCACUUUGUCUAUAUGGCAAAUGUGAGAUGCAGUGUAUGGAGCGUCAAUAUUCUAGUAUGAGAAAUUAAUGAUUUAAGUCCUUCUUAAAUGAGGCCAUUUACCCAUAGAGGGUGCCAGGCCCGUAUAACGUUAAUGAUUACUAGAUGAUGUUUCCAAAGAGUCGUGUUGCUUGAUAGUGCAGCACUAAGUGGGUGGUAAACUCCAUCUAAAACUAAAUAUAACCAUGAGACCGAUAGUAAACAAGUACCGUGAGGGAAAGUUGAAAAGAACUCUGAAUAGAGAGUUAAACAGUACGUGAAACUGCUUAGAGGUUAAGCCCGAUGAACCUGAAUAUCCGUUAUGGAAAAUUCAUCAUUAAAAUUGUAAUAUUUAAAUAAUAUUAUUAAGAAUAAUGUGCAUUUUUUCCAUAUAAGGACAUUGUAAUCUAUUAGCAUAUCCCAAAUUUAUCAUAAAAUAUAACUUAUAGUUUAUUCCAAUUAAAUUGCUUGCAUUUUAACACAGAAUAAAUGUUAUUAAUUUGAUAAAGUGCUGAUAGAUUUAUAUUAUUACAGAGCGUUAAUUUUUCGGAAUUAUAUAAUGGCAUAAUUAUCAUUGAUUUUUGUGUUUAUUAUAUGCUCUUGUAUGAUUAACAAUGCGAAAGAUUCAGGAUACCUUCGGGACCCGUCUUGAAACACGGACCAAGGAGUCUAACAUAUGUGCAAGUUAUUGGGAUGUAAACCUAAUAGCGUAAUUAACUUGACUAAUAAUGGGAUUAGUUUUUUAGCUAUUUAUAGCUAAUUAACACAAUCCCGGGGCGUUCUAUAUAGUUAUGUAUAAUGUAUAUUUAUAUUAUUUAUGCCUCUAACUGGAACGUACCUUGAGCAUAUAUGCUGUGACCCGAAAGAUGGUGAACUAUACUUGAUCAGGUUGAAGUCAGGGGAAACCCUGAUGGAAGACCGAAACAGUUCUGACGUGCAAAUCGAUUGUCAGAAUUGAGUAUAGGGGCGAAAGACCAAUCGAACCAUCUAGUAGCUGGUUCCUUCCGAAGUUUCCCUCAGGAUAGCUGGUGCAUUUUAAUAUUAUAUAAAAUAAUCUUAUCUGGUAAAGCGAAUGAUUAGAGGCCUUAGGGUCGAAACGAUCUUAACCUAUUCUCAAACUUUAAAUGGGUAAGAACCUUAACUUUCUUGAUAUGAAGUUCAAGGUUAUGAUAUAAUGUGCCCAGUGGGCCACUUUUGGUAAGCAGAACUGGCGCUGUGGGAUGAACCAAACGUAAUGUUACGGUGCCCAAAUUAACAACUCAUGCAGAUACCAUGAAAGGCGUUGGUUGCUUAAAACAGCAGGACGGUGAUCAUGGAAGUCGAAAUCCGCUAAGGAGUGUGUAACAACUCACCUGCCGAAGCAACUAGCCCUUAAAAUGGAUGGCGCUUAAGUUGUAUACCUAUACAUUACCGCUAAAGUAGAUGAUUUAUAUUACUUGUGAUAUAAAUUUUGAAACUUUAGUGAGUAGGAAGGUACAAUGGUAUGCGUAGAAGUGUUUGGCGUAAGCCUGCAUGGAGCUGCCAUUGGUACAGAUCUUGGUGGUAGUAGCAAAUAAUCGAAUGAGACCUUGGAGGACUGAAGUGGAGAAGGGUUUCGUGUGAACAGUGGUUGAUCACGAGUUAGUCGGUCCUAAGUUCAAGGCGAAAGCCGAAAAUUUUCAAGUAAAACAAAAAUGCCUAACUAUAUAAACAAAGCGAAUAUAAUACACUUGAAUAAUUUUGAACGAAAGGGAAUACGGUUCCAAUUCCGUAACCUGUUGAGUAUCCGUUUGUUAUUAAAUAUGGGCCUCGUGCUCAUCCUGGCAACAGGAACGACCAUAAAGAAGCCGUCGAGAGAUAUCGGAAGAGUUUUCUUUUCUGUUUUAUAGCCGUACUACCAUGGAAGUCUUUCGCAGAGAGAUAUGGUAGAUGGGCUAGAAGAGCAUGACAUAUACUGUUGUGUCGAUAUUUUCUCCUCGGACCUUGAAAAUUUAUGGUGGGGACACGCAAACUUCUCAACAGGCCGUACCAAUAUCCGCAGCUGGUCUCCAAGGUGAAGAGUCUCUAGUCGAUAGAAUAAUGUAGGUAAGGGAAGUCGGCAAAUUAGAUCCGUAACUUCGGGAUAAGGAUUGGCUCUGAAGAUUGAGAUAGUCGGGCUUGAUUGGGAAACAAUAACAUGGUUUAUGUGCUCGUUCUGGGUAAAUAGAGUUUCUAGCAUUUAUGUUAGUUACUUGUUCCCCGGAUAGUUUAGUUACGUAGCCAAUUGUGGAACUUUCUUGCUAAAAUUUUUAAGAAUACUAUUUGGGUUAAACCAAUUAGUUCUUAUCAAUUAUAACGAUUAUCAAUUAACAAUCAAUUCAGAACUGGCACGGACUUGGGGAAUCC